UACGUAGGGUGCAAGCGUUGUCCGGAAUUAUUGGGCGUAAAGAGCUCGUAGGCGGUCUGUUGCGUCGGCUGUGAAAACCCGGGGCUCAACCCCGGGCCUGCAGCCGAUACGGGCAGACUAGAGUUCGGCAGGGGAGACUGGAAUUCCUGGUGUAGCGGUGAAAUGCGCAGAUAUCAGGAGGAACACCAGUGGCGAAGGCGGCAUCCUGGACCGGUAUUGACGCUGAGGCGCGAAAGCUAGGGUAGCAAACGGG
rnacentral:rRNA from 1 species